AGCCAUUUGGGUUCUGCCU
rnacentral:snRNA from 1 species